rnacentral:rRNA from 1 species
CGCUGGCGGCGUGCUCAACACAUGCAAGUCGAACGAAGCGGCAGUGAAGGAGGCUUCGGCCAAUGGAUCUGUCGACUUAGUGGCGGACGGGUGAGUAACGCGUGAGCAACCUGCCUUUCAGAGGGGGAUAACGUUUGGAAACGAACGCUAAUACCGCAUAAUGUAUCUUUGCUGCAUGACAGAGAUACCAAAGGAGCAAUCCGCUGAAAGAUGGGCUCGCGUCCGAUUAGAUAGUUGGUGGGGUAACGGCCUACCAAGUCGACGAUCGGUAGCCGGACUGAGAGGUUGAACGGCCACAUUGGGACUGAGACACGGCCCAGACUCCUACGGGAGGCAGCAGUGGGGAAUAUUGCACAAUGGGCGAAAGCCUGAUGCAGCAACGCCGCGUGAGGGAAGACGGUUUUCGGAUUGUAAACCUUUGUCCUUGGUGAAGAUCAUGACGGUAGCCGAGGAGGAAGCCACGGCUAACUACGUGCCAGCCGCUGC